rnacentral:misc_RNA from 1 species
GUUGCUUCAAAACAUUAUUAAUAAUAUUUUAUUAAUAUGAAUAUAUUAGAAAUUUAAUUCCCAUAAUUAGUAAUUUAGAGUUAAGACUAUUUUACUAAGUUAAUCGAUUAAAGCGUAAAUAUCGUAAAAAUGAGCGUAUAAAGGAAGAAUAUUGUUACAUGGUCCGGUUUUUGGGGAGGACCGGUCCAGCAGAUGUAAGUUCGUUUGUCAUUCUAAUGGGAUGCGAGUGGUUUACAUUUUAAAGGGUAUUUUGAGGGUCUUUUUCGUGUUAUUUGAGUGUAAUUUUUUUUAUAGAUUUAUUUAUUUUUU